AUCCAAGAAAAGAAGAAAAAAUAAAAUCAUAUGAUGAUAAUUUGGGGUUGAAAAAUAGCGUUUAUAAUGGAAGUCAAUGGGCAGAAAAUGGUCCCCAGGGUGAUGGGUGUGGGGAUUUCUGCUGCUCAGCCAUUUUAGGCUGAUUUAAGGAAUUCACACUGGAAUAUUAACAUUGACAGGUAAAAACUAUCCUGUGGCAAGUUUGGUUAUAUUCCACUGAACACAGUGGAAAUGGCAGCCAUUUAACACAUAGCAGUGGCACAAAAAGGUCCCAAGAAGGCAGGAAGGUUAAGGUGAUCAGGAUCUUUCAAAAUCACACAGCUUUCUGAAAAUGAGGCUGGCUUGGCACUCUGUACAAACCAGCCAUUUAUUAUCCUGCUGCAAACCUACAAUUAGGGCGAUUUUUGUCUGUUUUAAUUUAAUGACUACUUCACUGUUUUUCACUGGUGCAGUCACACCCUGAGCAACAAUAAUUUCAGUUUUUCAGAGUUUUUCCAGUCUGUCUUGUAUCUGUGGAAAAUAACUAUUAGAAAGCUGCAGAAUGGAACUAACUCUUUCUUGCUGCUGCUCAUUCCAUGCUUGCAUCAUCGGGUGAAGGAUUUGGGGAAUUAACUACAUUUGGUGUACUGUACUGACAAAAAGAGAAAAAAAAAAAACAUGCACAAUGACCGACAUACUGGACAGGCUGAAAAAGAGCAAAAUAGUUCUUAAAGUUAAUAAUAAUAUAGGUUAUAUUUAAAAAAAAAAAAAAAAGAAAGAAAGAAAAAGAGCAGCACUGGGAGCAUACACUCAGGGAAUAACAGCGUGUCGUAAUCAACAACUUUUAAGUCUGAGUGGCCACUUCAAACAAGUGAGCCAAAAUGAUGACAUAACAAGAAUCCUCAGAUGUGGAGGCAAAUGAUUCACAGAUACAGACAACAGGAGAGUAAGAGAGAGAGAGAAAGAAACCAUCAGGGAGUGCAAAAUACAGGGACGGCUACAUAUGUAGACAGGUACAAAGGCAGGAACACAGAUGCAUCUCGAUGGAUGUGGUGUGACAACCCGAAAUCAUCCAGCAAGAGAGAGGACGGAACAGAUGCUCGGGGACGGGCCCGCCAUCGUCAGAGAGGUUGAUGGCAGAAUCUCAGAUCCCUCUUAAGAGGCUGCUCAGGAGUGUCGGCCGAUCCACGGGGAAGGAGACAGGCGGCUGGUGCUGGCUUGUGGUUUGUACUGGCAGGGAAUGACCAGCUUUCCGAUAGGCUCACUGACAUCUGUCACCCUCUGAAGUUGUGACACUGAAUUGCUCAUUUUCCACUAAAAAAAACAAACAAAUUCUUCAUCAUCAUGAUGGCUCAUAUAACCACCCAAGCACAAUCUCUUCUGUAAGUGUGUAUGUAUUGUCUGUG
ensembl:lncRNA